rnacentral:misc_RNA from 1 species
GAUGAAGAACGUAGCGAAAUGCGAUAAGUAGUGUGAAUUGCAGAAUUCAGUGAAUCAUCGAAUCUUUGAACGCACAUUGCGCCCCUUGGUAUUCCAUGGGGCAUGCCUGUUCGAGCGUCAUUUGUACCUUCAAGCUCUGCUUGGUGUUGGGUGUUUGUCUCGCCUCUGCGCUUAGACUCGCCUCAAAACAAUUGGCAGCCGGCGUAUUGAUUUCGGAGCGCAGUACAUCUCGCGCUUUGCACUCAUAACGACGACGUCCAAAAGUACAUUUUUACACUCUUGACCUCGGAUCAGGUAGGGAUACCCGCUGAACUUAAGCAUAUCAAUAAGCGGAGGA